ensembl:misc_RNA 7SK 7SK RNA
GGAUGUGAGGUGGCCUGACUGCAGCAUCAGUCACCCCACUGACUGCCAGUGUUGAUUCGGUUGACCCAGAUGGCCAGGCAGUGUCCCCUUCCUCCCUCACCAUGCCAUGUGUGUCCCUCCUGAAGCUGCGCGCUCCAUGGAAGAGGACGGCUGCCCCGACAGAGGACCACACCUCACCAAGUGCAGCUGCGCCCCCCUGCCAGAACUCCACACAAGCGCUCAGGAGAGAUGGCGUCAGCAGUGAGAAGCUGCAUUUCUAGUGUGUACCCUUCACACGAUGUCCUGAACAUGGCACUCCAUCAGUGU